GGUCAACUGAGGAGAGUAAACUGCAAAAUUGGCUUCUUUCCGAACCGCAGGAGAGAACUGGUUGGUCUUCUUUCAGGGACGGAGAUGUCGCAUCCAUACUUGUGGUAGGAAAGAAUGUUUUGACCCGGGGUAGGGAGCAAAAGCCUGAAAUCGCAAUUUGUUUCGGAAGGUCUAACAACACUGAAUUUGAAUUGAUAAUUGAAAAGUUGAAUUGAGCAUAAGAAGUGGAACUGAACAUUGAAAUGUAACCUUGGAAAUCCUGGCAAAGUGCUUCCACCUUCAGGCGAUUUCGCACUGUUGGGUGAGAGGUAGGAGAGAGGAAACCGGAGUACCCGGAGAAAACCCUGACACCUGCCCUGCGAACAGGUGUGACAUACAGAGAGUGUCCCGAGACGAGAUUUGAACCCAGAACCUCCUCACUGCAGUGGUGACAAGCGAGUGUUCUAACCACUACAAUACCGGUCGUCCCUUGUGGUUUAGUUUGCAUUUGUGGCUCUAGACAACAACAAGAUUCACUGCAUGAACUGUGGGUAUUGUUUAGGAAUCGACGAAAACACUGAAAUAUCUUUGCCAACCUGUUACUUCCCUCUAAUCACCGAUUGGUGCAGAAUUUUGGAAACAGAAAAUCAUCAGAGAAUUGCCAGAUGAUCUGUUAAUCUAUCUUUAACAGAUGAAGAAACAAAGUACCACAGCCUUGUUUAUCCAUCCUCACCCUGUGCAGCCUCCACUGCUAUUCUGAACCGUUAAUUGCAUCCUCAUCACACAAUGACCCUCCCCUACACUCCUCCCCUUGCUAGCAUUGUAUACCAUUUGUUUGUGUUUGU